CCCGGGCGCCUGGGCCGAGCAACCGCUGCGACGCCAGGGGGGCCCCUUCCCUCCUGAGGGGCCCGAUCGGUAGGACAUGGCAGAGGAGCCUCCUCGUUUGGACUCAACAGGUUGUGUGUAAAUGAAUGGGUGAGAGGAUGUUUCAGAUGAUGCUGUGAAUGAUACUCUUGAGAGAGGCUGGUUAAAAAUGCCAUAGUGCUGGAGGAUUGUGAGUGGUUAUGGGUGUGAAUGGGAUCUUAAGGUUCUGAGGGAUUUCUGAGCCCAUGGGGUGGGUUCUGUUUGAAUGAGGAUGCCACUAAGGGCAACACUUAACACUUGAAGCCACUUUCUCUCUUCCUUAUCCCCUCACGGCCAAGGAUGACUGAGUGAAUUAAAGGUGAACACUGGAAACUGUUCAACAUUGAGCAGCAAAUAUCCGCAGUGAGUUUUAGAUUGUUUUUCUCACCCAUCACACCCUCAAUGUUACCAACUGUCAUUGUUGACCACACUGUGAGCGUAUUACUCUCUACAAAGAGACCACAGCAGCACGCUACUUGAAAGAUACCACCAAGGCUGGUGUGUCCAGUGCAACUAAGAGUAAUGCAACACUGGAGUAAGGACCAGCAGGCUUUCUUCUGGUUAGCUUAAUAUGAAGGCUUGCUCCCCUUUCCAACUUUUAACCCUUGUGCCUCAUCUUUUGACCUUCGCGACCCCUGAAUGAUCAUGGCCAAUUAAGGCAGCAUUGAUGAAUUAUUCUGCCCUCAAUCAAAUGUGGAAUAUGUGACGUCUGCAUCAAAAGUGUUUCUUUCUUUUUAUUUAAAUGCUGUUACGACCUACAACUACAUCCCAGGCAAUUGACUUACACCUAAAUGUAUGGUACCAUCAGUAACUUUCUGCCCUAUUUAAAACUGGGCGCCUUUUCCCCAUGCUUCUUAUCUGAACAUGGAUUACAUCAACAUGGAAAGACUGAUUGCCCUUAAACACACACACACACACACACCAUUGAAGCUUCUCCAGUUGGGCUCUGAUAGCCUUGUCUUACAUGUUUGCCCGUUGCCUGCUUAUCUGAGCAGCAAAAGCUUUUUGUGUAAUUGUUUUCUAAAAAAGAUUAAGGAAAAUACAAUGCGCCUAAAAAAAGCACUGGUCCGUAAUUCAGUUUUGUAUGUUUUGCUUUGUGAAAUGGGGUGGCAAAAUGUGAUGGAGUUUCAUGUUGCUGUAUAAAAGAACAUUUGUAUUGCGUGUUUUUUUCUCGGUUUAGUUUAUUAAAGGACAUGUGACCAGUCCAUUCGUCUGUCCCGCAUUGUUCCUUCUAAACAUUGUCACUUGCUAUGGAUCUGACUCACCACUAGGUGGCGUACCUUCACAUAUCUGCGCUAACAGCACUACAGUCUACCUAGUGCAAGUUUCGAAGCAAUUUGAAUAGUGGCUUCUAUGUUUUGUUUUUGAAUUAAUU
ensembl:lncRNA